UUGAGUAUGUUGUUUGUCGUUUGCCAACAUUACUUGAUUAUGAAUACAAAGCCAUCAAUCUGUUCAAACGAGAGCAAGUAGCAACACAGUCCUGGUUGUUAACGACUUGUUGAAUCUAACAGGACAAAAUUUAAGAAUCAGGGAGGAUAGUCAGGUAACUUUUUUGUAAACAACGUUGAUGUUUGCUUUCUCAUGUUUUCUCCAUACAAUGUCAAUGUCCAAAUUAAUCAGUGUUGGAAUAUUCAACU